rnacentral:rRNA from 1 species
AUGUUGCAAGAACUGGUGCGUGCGGCAAUGGCGGCCGCGCCCGGGGACGUUCCGCCGCCCUUGGCCACCCCUGCUCUUCUUCCGCAGGCCAAAAGUGUUAAGGAAGACCCGAGUUUUCCCCAAGCCUCGCCGGUGGUUCCGGCCAUGACGCUUCCGCCCGACCUCGUCCGCCGCGUCGGCGACUCCCUCCUGUCCACCAACGACAUCGACUGCUACAUUCACUUCCGCGCCGUUUGCCCCGGCUGGCGCGCCGCCACCGACGACCCCAUGAGGGACACCUCCGACCCCCGCUUCCAGCCGCGCCGGUGGAUCGUCCUCGACGAGGACUUCCAGAGCGAAGGGAAGCUGCUCCUGCUGAACACUGAAAGCGGCCGCUUCCUCCACAGAAAGCUCCCGCUGCUCAGCGACCACUACGUCGUCGCCACAACUCGCAAUGGCUACUUGGUCCUGGCGGACAAAAGCCCUCCUCACUCUGCCAGCGUCCUCAACCCUCUCACCGGCGUCGUCAUCCGUUUCAUGGCGCCUGUGCCCCCCGAGGUGGGAUACGCUGCUGUCUCCUUUGCCAACUCUGCCCUCAAGCUCACCUUGUUCGCCGACUCAUCUCACGAGAUUUACUCGGCCUAUCCCGACAAUAAGAGUUCCGUCGUCCACAAGGUUCAGCAAGCAGCUUAUGUUUUCUUCCGUAAUGCGCUCGUGGGCGGUGUCUACACAAACACUAUAGGGCUUGUCGUGAUUGCUCGUUUAUGCAGAUUGCUGAUGACUCCAGAUGCAAACCACCUUUGUUUUCCAGUGGCUUUGGGUAGAGAAAUGCUGCUUGUCGGGAGUGCAGAGGUAUCGUUCUUUAUUUUUAAAACAGACAAAGAAUUUUCGGACGGAGGGAGUAUAUGCAAGUGCGACAUCAAGGACAGAAAAGUAGAGAAGAUCUCUGAAACUGCCGAUUUCAUCAAGAAGGACAAGAAGUUUGUCCUCGUUGCUGACCGUCCUUCGACGAUCAUCCACCUUCUCUCCAGCUACACCAUCAACAUCCCGGACUCUCAGCUGGCCUUGCAACAGAUUCCAUAA